rnacentral:tRNA from 1 species
GGGAGAGUAGCUCAGUGGUUAGAGCAGGGCGCUCAUAACGCCUUUGUCGAGAGUUCAAUUCUCUCCUUUCCCACCA